GAAGGCUGAUGCGCCCGCUCUGCUCGCACCAUUGUGGCGGCCGAACAAAGCACAAUGGUGUGAGCUGGGAUGGGCGCUGGCCGGCCCUC
ensembl:miRNA